GACGAACGCUGGCGGCGUGCCUAAUACAUGCAAGUCGAGCGCAGGAAAUCGACGGAACCCUUCGGGGGGAAGUCGACGGAAUGAGCGGCGGACGGGUGAGUAACACGUAAAGAACCUGCCCUCAGGUCUGGGAUAACCACGAGAAAUCGGGGCUAAUACCGGAUGGGUCAUCGGACCGCAUGGUCCGAGGAUGAAAGGCGCUUCGGCGUCGCCUGGGGAUGGCUUUGCGGUGCAUUAGCUAGUUGGUGGGGUAAUGGCCCACCAAGGCGACGAGGCAUAGCCGACCUGGGAGGGUGAUCGGCCACACUGGGACUGAGACACGGCGCAGACUCCUACGGGAGGCAGCAGUAGGGAAUCUUCCACAAUGGACGAAAGUCUGAUGGAGCAACGCCGCGUGAACGAUGAAGGCCUUCGGGUCGUAAAGUUCUGUUGUAAGGGAAGAACAAGUGCCGCAGGCAAUGGCGGCACCUUGACGGUACCUUGCGAGAAAGCCACGGCUAACUACGUGCCAGCCGCCGCGGUAA
rnacentral:rRNA from 1 species